CCCCUAGUACUGCGAGUGAAGCGGGAAAAGCUCAAAUUUAAAAUCUGGCGGUCUCUGGCCGUCCGAGUUGUAAUCUAGAGAAGUAAUGCCCGUGCUGGACCGUGUAUAAGUCUCCUGGGAUGGGGCGUCAUAGAGGGUGAGAAUCCCGUCUUUGACACGGACUACCAGUGCAUUGUGGUAUGCUCUCAAAGAGUCGAGUUGUUUGGGAAUGCAGCUCAAAAUGGGUGGUAAAUUCCAUCUAAAGCUAAAUAUUGGCGAGAGACCGAUAGCGAACAAGUACCGUGAGGGAAAGAUGAAAAGAACUUUGGAAAGAGAGUUAAACAGUACGUGAAAUUGCUGAAAGGGAAACGCUUGAAGUCAGUCGCGUUGGCCAGGGAUCAGCCUUGCUUCUGCAUGGUGUACUUUCUGGUUGACGGGUCAGCAUCAAUUUUGACCGCUGGAAAAGGUCCUGGGGAAUGUGGCAGCUCCGGCUGUGUUAUAGCCCCUGGUCGCAUACAGUGGUUGGGAUUGAGGAACUCAGCACGCCGCAAGGCCGGGUUUCGACCACGUUCGUGCUUAGGAUGCUGGCAUAAUGGCUUUAAGCGACCCGUCUUGAAACACGGACCAAGGAGUCUAACAUGCCUGCGAGUAUUUGGGUGGAAAACCCGAGUGCGCAAUGAAAGUGAAAGUUGAGAUCCCUGUCGCGGGGAGCAUCGACGCCCGGACCAGAACUUUUGGGACGGAUCCGCGGUGGAGCAUGUAUGUUGGGACCCGAAAGAUGGUGAACUAUGCCUGAAUAGGGUGAAGCCAGAGGAAACUCUGGUGGAGGCUCGUAGCGAUUCUGACGUGCAAAUCGAUC
rnacentral:rRNA from 1 species